GGUAAUUGUAAACAGCGGAUUGUAAUUCCGUUUUAAGGGUUUAAACCCCUAUUUACCA
rnacentral:tRNA from 1 species